UACGUAGGGGGCAAGCGUUGUCCGGAAUCAUUGGGCGUAAAGAGCGCGUAGGCGGCCCUGUAAGUCCGCUGUGAAAGUCAAGGGCUCAACCCUUGGAUGCCGGUGGAUACUGCAGGGCUAGAGUCCGGAAGAGGCGAGUGGAAUUCCUGGUGUAGCGGUGAAAUGCGCAGAUAUCAGGAGGAACACCGAUGGCGAAGGCAGCUCGCUGGGCCUUACCUGACGCUGAGGAGCGAAAGCGUGGGGAGCGAACAGG
rnacentral:rRNA from 1 species